UCCCGGGAGCCUCUCGAGCGCCCCGGGCGGGGUCCCGGGGCGCACGCGGGCUCCAUGCCUGGCGCUAACCUGGAUCUUUCUGGCGUGCGCCCCCCACCCACCCUGGGAAGCGGGGCUCUUGGGAGCAGGGGCUGGGGGCUGAGGGAGAGUGAGCUGCCCGUCGGGGGAGACAUGAAGUUUCACUUUGUUGCCCAGGCUGGUUUUGGACUCCUGAGAUCAAGCGAUCCUCCCACCUCGGCCUCCCAAAGGCUGGGAUGACAGGCGUGAGUCACCCCACCUGGCACCUUAUCUCCUUUCUAAGGGAUGAGUCCUCUGAAACAAAGAUCAAGCUCAUCUCAGGAGGGCAAUGAACCAAGACACCCAGGUGGCCUGCGCCCAUCUUUAACCUUCCGUUACCCCAAAAGGAAACUGCUGCUGACCACAGGUCCCUCGCCGAGGUCCGCCUUCUCUUCGUUCAGCGGGGAAGUGUCCCGGCAUGAGAAGGACGUCUGAGAAACUCUAGCACCCACGGAGACUUUCUCCUCUUCCUCUCUGCAAAUGAAUG